rnacentral:misc_RNA from 1 species
AAAGUCGUAACAAGGUCUCCGUUGGUGAACCAGCGGAGGGAUCAUUACAGAGUUGCAAAACUCCCACACCCUUUGUGAACGCACUGGAACUACUGCUUCGGCGGGCAAGCUCUUCAGUGGGCAGCCCGCCGGAGAAGCACUAAACUCUUGUAUUUUUGGCUUCUCUGAGUGAUUAUACAAUGAAUCAAAACUUUCAACAACGGAUCUCUUGGUUCUG